AUAGCCUCGGGAACCGAGGUUAAUACCGGAUACUCCAUAUUUGUCGCAUGGCGAAUAUGGGAAAGCUCCGGCGGCAAAGGAUGGGCCCGCGGCCUGUUAGCUAGUUGGUGGGGUAGUGGCCUACCAAGGCAAUGAUGGGUAGCCGGGUUGAGAGACCACCGGCCAGAUUGGGACUGAGACACGGCCCAGACUCCUACGGGAGGCAGCAGGC
rnacentral:rRNA from 1 species